AUUGAACGCUGGCGGCAGGCCUAACACAUGCAAGUCGAACGAGUGGCGGACGGGUGAGUAAUGUCUGGGAAACUGCCUGAUGGAGGGGGAUCACUACUGGAAACGGUUGCUAAUACCGCAUACACUCGGAUGUGCCCAGAUGGGAUUAGCUAGUAGGGGGGGUAACGGCUCACCUAGGCGACGAUCCCUAGCUGGUCUGAGAGGAGGACCAGCCACACUGGAACUGAGACACGGUCCAGACUCCUACGGGAGGCAGCAGUGGGGAAUAUUGCACAAGGGGCGCAAGCCUGAUGCAGCCAUGCCGCGGGUGGGAAGAAGGCCUUCGGGUUGUAAAGCACUUUCAGCGGGGAGGCGUUACCCGCAGAAGAAGCACCGGCUAACUCCGUGCCAGCAGCCGCGGUAAUUC
rnacentral:rRNA from 1 species